CAUCAUCCUCAAGCCCGGAUCAGUGAGGUUAGAACGUCUAACUUGCAAGGUAAUAGAUCUGAUCUAUUGUUUAAUACAUACAUUAGAUGUAGUAUAGAAACAUGUUGAUAUGAUCAACAUGUAGUUCAUGCUAUAUUUAUAUAUUUUAAUUUCUGAUUUAAUACUAUGUAAUAAUCAUAUAAUAGGAUCUUAGAUCUAGAGAUUUUCUAAUUUUAGAAAAUAAAUUUUGAUUUAUUUUAGUCUUCCACUGUAUGAUCUUGAAAAAAUUUUAAGAUCUAACCCUGAAACCCUAGAUCUGGUUCCUACAAUUGGUAUCAGAGCC
rnacentral:lncRNA from 1 species